ensembl:lncRNA
CCCGACUUAAUUACUUCUGAGGUGGAGGAGGAAUGUAAAGCUGAUGGGGCUGAAUGCUGCUGGUGCUGCAGCUCUGUCUGUUCUUGGCCACAGGGAACUCUCCUUUGGGUCCCGUUCCACUCAGCCUCCAUGGAGAAAUGGUGUUCCCUAACAUCGUCCUUGGAGAUCAGAUUAAACACUGCUAAAAACCACACCAGAAAGCACGCUGCACAAGGUGACUUUGUAGGAACGACUUCAUAGAGGUCCACGUUCCUUUUAAAAGCCUUCCAAGCAUCACGUUUUCUAAAACUAAUGCUAAUGCAGCCAAAGGCCCUGGAUUGGCCAACCAUCUUAAUGCUGAAGCAAAGCUGAA